CUGGGAAACUGCCUGAUGGAGGGGGAUAACUGCUGGAAACGGUAGCUAAUACCGCAUAAUGUCGCAAGACCAAAGUGGGGGACCUUCGGGCCUCAUGCCAUCAGAUGUGCCCAGAUGGGAUUAGCUAGUAGGUGGGGUAAUGGCUCACCUAGGCGACGAUCCCUAGCUGGUCUGAGAGGAUGACCAGCCACACUGGAACUGAGACACGGUCCAG
rnacentral:rRNA from 1 species